rnacentral:tRNA from 1 species
GCGGGAGUGGCGGAAUUGGCAGACGCACCAGACUUAGGAUCUGGCGCCUUCGGGCGUGGGGGUUCAAGUCCCUUCUCCCGCA